GACGAACGCUGGCGGCGUGCCUAAUACAUGCAAGUGGAACGCACUGAUGAAGCCGUAGCUUGCUACAAUUUCAUCAGUGAGUCGCGAACGGGUGAGUAACGCGUAGGUAACCUGCCUGGUAGCGGGGGAUAACUAUUGGAAACGAUAGCUAAUACCGCAUAAGACAUUUUACUGCAUGGUAAGAUGUUAAAAGAUGCAACUGCAUCACUACCAGAUGGACCUGCGUUGUAUUAGCUAGUUGGUGAGGUAACGGCUCACCAAGGCCACGAUACAUAGCCGACCUGAGAGGGUGAUCGGCCACACUGGGACUGAGACACGGCCCAGACUCCUACGGGAGGCAGCAGUAGGGAAUCUUCGGCAAUGGGGGGAACCCUGACCGAGCAACGCCGCGUGAGUGAAGAAAGGUUUUCGGGAUCGUAAAAGCUUCUGUUGUA
rnacentral:rRNA from 1 species